AUCUCAGAUAAUAAUUCUUGUGAUUAUCUGACUCAUGAGGGGCAACGAAUAAGAAUGGGGAGUUCGCUGAUGGUGCCUUUAAUUUCGGGAAAAAGGUGCUUUGAUAGUACCUCACCGCACACCA